rnacentral:rRNA from 1 species
AACGAACGCUGGCGGCAGGCUUAACACAUGCAAGUCGAGCGCCCCGCAAGGGGAGCGGCAGACGGGUGAGUAACGCGUGGGAAUCUACCCAUCUCUACGGAAUAACGCAUGGAAACGUGUGCUAAUACCGUAUACGUCCUUCGGGAGAAAGAUUUAUCGGAGAUGGAUGAGCCCGCGUUGGAUUAGCUAGUUGGUGGGGUAAAGGCCUACCAAGGCGACGAUCCAUAGCUGGUCUGAGAGGAUGAUCAGCCACACUGGGACCGAGACACGGCCCAGACCCCUACGGGAGGCAGCAGUGGGGAAUAUUGGACAAUGGGCGCAAGCCUGAUCCAGCCAUGCCGCGUGAGUGAUGAAGGCCCUAGGGUUGUAAAGCUCUUUCACCGGUGAAGAUAAUGGCGGUAACCGGAGAAGAAGCCCCGGCUAACUUCGUGCCAGCCGCCGCCGUAACAC